AGAGUUUGAUCAUGGCUCAGGACGAACGCUUGCGACGUGCCUAAGAAAUGCAAGUCGAACGGGGGGUAACCCCAGUGGCGAACGGUCGCGUAACACGUGGGCAACCUGCCCCAGAGCGGGGGAUAACAGGCCGAAAGGUUUGCUAAUACCGCAUGUGGACCCUGUCGGCAUCGACGGGCGUCUAAAGAUUUAUCACUCUG
rnacentral:rRNA from 1 species